GGGAGAUGAUGAGCGGUAAAAGCUCGCGGGAUGCGAGUGGGGCGUCCGCCCCAGUAAGCCUGUUACGACAACAGGGGCGCUCAAAUCUUUUACCAAUCUGAUCCC